rnacentral:rRNA from 1 species
UACAGAGGGGGCAAGCGUUGUUCGGAAUUACUGGGCGUAAAGGGCGCGUAGGCGGCCUGCUAAGUCGAACGUGAAAUCCCCGGGCUCAACCCGGGAACUGCGUCCGAUACUGGCAGGCUUGAAUCCGGAGAGGGAUGCGGAAUUCCAGGUGUAGCGGUGAAAUGACGUAGAUAUCUGGAGGAACACCGGUGGCGAAGGCGGCAUCCUGGACCGGCAUUGACGCUGAGGCGCGAA